ensembl:lincRNA Irx3os iroquois homeobox 3, opposite strand
GAGGGGAGAGCCGAGACCACGAGUGGCGGCUUAGUACAGGGUCACCUAGCCCCUCAGGUCUUCCAACUCCUCAAUUCUCAGCCCCCUUCGAAGCUGUAGUUCCGGGUUGGGACAGGACCCUGGACCAAGAAGGGAAAGAAAAACAAAACGCAACACCACACAACAACACCACACAAGAGCCUCUGAGAUGCUCCUUCCUUCCUUACUGCAUUAACCAGCUAUCGACCUGGUUGUGUCCGAUUGCGAUGAUGGGCUGAGAGAAAGAACACCGGAAGAGCCAGGCUGUUCUCAGGAAGGACUCACGCCGGCCACGGGGCCGCCCCUGGCCCAGAGGGUGAACCUCUAGACCCAGGCAUGAACCUAAGAACCUCGCUUAAUUAGAUUCCUCCAGGCAUCCCAGGCCUGGAGUAGAAACAGCUACCGGUUACCCCGUGACCAACUGGGAAGAGCUUUGGUCUGGCCCUGAAAUCAGCAACCCACGCCGGGACCCAGUAUCCCAAGCGACUGGAGUCACUGCAUGGCUCUGAUUCCUCAACAAGACCAGGCCAUGCACAAAGCGCUCGCCGCGGACGCUCUGUGGUCUGGGAUCAGGGCGCCAGGAGCAUACAGAAAAGGUGUACGCCGAGGACCCGUGGCGCACGAAGCUGUGCGCGCUGGGGGACAACUACAAGGGGUGCCCUAUGUGUAGCCAGAGGCCCACCAGCUUCGGGGUCGGACACUCCGAACCACCAGCCCCCAUCUCUUCCCUCCCCUGGUCCAGCUCCCCGAUGUGCCCGCGUCCCCCAUCGUUGGGAGCUUCUGCAGCUGUGUCUCCCAGCUCGGACAGAGUUCACUCCUUUCCUCCCAAGGCUCAGAGUCCCCCAGAGGCGGUGCGGGCUGGCUAUCCUUCAGCUUCCUGCAGAGGCUGCUGCGUACGCUCCCCCCCCCCCCCCCCCNNNNNNNNNNNNNNNNNNNNNNNNNNNNNNNNNNNNNNNNNNNNNNNNNNNNNNNNUAGCUAACCAACGAAGCUUGUAAUUACAAUCUUACAGAAACCGGGCCGAUCUGUAUAUAAAUCUCACCAUCCAAUUACAAGAUGUAAUAAUUUUGCACUCAAGCUGGUAAUGAGGUCUAAUACUCGCGCAUGCGAUAAUCCCCUCUGGAUGCUGGCUUGAUCAGAUGUUGGCUUUGUAAUUAGACGGGCAGAAAAUCAUUAUUUCAUGUUCAAAUAGAAAAUGAGGUUGGUGGGAAGUUAAUUUCUCUCCGCUCUGUGAAGCGUAGACAAGAAUUUAAUGAUUUAAUUACAGUUGUAAGCCCUUUCCAUGA